ACGGAGGGUGCAAGCGUUGCUCGGAAUUACUGGGCGUAAAGCGUACGCAGGCGGCGCAGUAGGUCGGGUGUGAAAGCCCAGGGCUCAACCCUGGAACUGCAUUCGAAACCCCUGUGCUUGAAUACGGGAGAGGAGAGCGGAAUUCCUGGUGUAGAGGUGAAAUUCGUAGAUAUCAGGAGGAACACCAGUGGCGAAAGCGGCUCUCUGGCCCGAUAUUGACGCUCAUGUACGAAAGCGUGGGGAGCAAACAGG
rnacentral:rRNA from 1 species